rnacentral:lncRNA from 1 species
AAACUUUGGGACGCUUCAGACCAUCGAAGUCGUGUUCUCAACCUUUGUGGACGAAAACUGUCUGUUGAUGCUCUGGUGAGGGAGACGACGGCCCACACAAACACACCAGAACCACGACACAAGGUGU